rnacentral:rRNA from 1 species
AUUGAACGCUGGCGGCAUGCCUAACACAUGCAAGUCGAACGAGUGGCGGACGGGUGAAUAAUGUAUGGGAACCUGCCCGAUCGAGGGGGAAAACUACUGGAAACGGUGGCUAAUACCGCAUACCAUGCGAUGGGCCGCGAGGGGAUUAGCUAGUAGGUGGGGUAACGGCUGACCUAGGCGACGAUCCCUAGCAGGUCCGAGAGGAGGACCAGCCACACUGGAACUGAGACACGGUCCAGACUCCUACGGGAGGCAGCAGUGGGGAAUAUUGGACAAUGGGCGCAAGCCUGAGGCAGCCAUGCCGCGUGUAUGAAGAAGGCCUUCGGGUUGUAAAGUACUUUUGGCGAGGAGGCGUUACUCGCAGAAGAAGCACCGGCUAACUCCGUGCCAGCAGCCGCGGUAAUAC